UACGUAGGGCGCAAGCGUUGUCCGGAUUUAUUGGGCGUAAAGAGCUCGUAGGCGGCUUGUCGCGUCGUCCGUGAAAACUUGGGGCUCAACCCCAAGCUUGCGGUCGAUACGGGCAGGCUAGAGUUCGGUAGGGGAGACUGGAAUUCCUGGUGUAGCGGUGAAAUGCGCAGAUAUCAGGAGGAACACCGGUGGCGAAGGCGGGUCUCUGGGCCGAUACUGACGCUGAGGAGCGAAAGCGUGGGGAGCGAACAGG
rnacentral:rRNA from 1 species